rnacentral:tRNA from 1 species
GGCAGGGUGGCUUUGGGGAAAGAGCACGGGCUUGGGACUCAGAGGACAUGGGUUCGAAUCCUGGCUCUGCCA